UGACAAGCUACUUUCUAGGAAUCUUGCACUGUCCUUUCUCAAAGUUAAACUCAGGAAAAUAGAGUUUAAUUUCCAGACUAAAGAAGGCAGCACCUGGUAGAUGAAUGAUUUCCCCCCGCCCCACCCAACCUCCAAGGUUCCCUGGGGCAUCCAGUUGCAAUACAUGUUUUCUCCAUUACAAAUAUAAAGAAAAGGAACACCGAAAAGAGAGUGGUGAAUAGCCUCCUCUAAUAAUAUCAUCACAUCAUUGCUAUGCAUAUGCAAAGCAAUGGGGAAAGAACCCAUUUAAAGGCAUGGU